GUAUGCAUGGUCGCCUAAAUAGUACUUUUGCAGGCCAGUUUAGCUUGAGGUCGAGCGUACUUGGGGUUGAGGCAUAGCUGUCAUAGCUUCCGCAUUAUAAAAGUAUUGGUCGUUUAUCUUGUAUUCUACCUUCUUGUACGCCUGAGAAAUAGAUUGCUCUGAUAACUCUUGAGAUUAAUAUUCUUAAGUUUCAGAAUUGUUUUGUGAUAUGAGAGAUGUUGUGAUAUAGGG
rnacentral:lncRNA from 1 species